UCUUAAAGGCAAACAACACUCGCGGCCUUCGAGUUUAGACCCAUUAAACUAAAGUAUUGUUGCUUGCUCCCCCUUUUCUUCCCACUGCUUAUAAAAUCGCUCUCUGUAUGCCAUCUAGGGUUUCCUUUUCCAUACUCUCUCACAAAUGGCGACAGCCACCAAUGCAAAUAUGGUGGCCAGACACUUCCCUCUUCCGGUGGUUGGCCGCCUGAUCUUGCAGUGAAGCCAAGCGUCCUCGUGUCGAGAACGCCUUUUACGUGUUAAGGAGGAUACAUUGAAUUGCAGAUGAAAGGCAUUGGGGUAUUGCAUGUGGGUUAGAUUGUUUUGCUCAAAGCUGUGAAUGGGAGGGUUAGAUCAUUCAAAAUUGAGGUUUAGGAUUUUUGAGUCAAGUGAUUAUGUAUUUCCUGAAUUUGGUCCAUUCAAGUUGAAGUUUUUUGGAUUUGUACGAAGUUGAGGAAACUGUAAAAGCAACCAACUGUUAAUCCAUAUUUGUUGGCCUCUAA